UCACACCCCACUGGGUUCCCAGCUCUUACCUUCCAGGUGCUGCCUGACGAGGACCUCCAACCGCUCCAGCCUGUCCUGCAGCCUCCGGCUCUCGCUGCCCUCCUGCCCCAGCGGCUGCUCGGCCAUGGGAGGCUGCACCUUGAGAUGCUGCCUGACCCGAUGAGUGUUUCUGGACAGGAGACACAAGAGACUGCAGAUGCUGGAGCAACAAACAAACCGCUGGAGGAACUCAGCAGAUCGAGGGAGCUCAGAGUCCCUGCAGAACUCCAGUGCAGUAUCUGGGCUGAUAUCUCCACUGCGUGCUCCAGAGUUCGGUACAUACAUCCAUAUUCUCUUUGAAUUCCCUGGGGAGACGUAUGCUUCAAAUGUCACAUUCUCUACAUCAACAGAGGGUGGCAAAUCACCUUCCUCCCUUACACAGUGUGAUGCAAAUCACCAACAGGGAGGUGACCUCUUGAUGCAA